GCUGCUUGAAGUUGAGGUUAAAGCACUUUAUUAGGUCAAAUAGAGGGAACCCUGCUCUCUGUCCGUAUUUUGUCUGAAGAAGAGCUGUUUGAUGACGACGACAAAAGUGAGAAUUUAAUAUCCUAGAAUUGACAGAUGUAUGACUUGGCUUUUGAAAAAGCGGGAUGAGAAUGCACUGACCACUCCUUCAGUGAGCUACAGAGUGUAUGGCAACUCACCCCAGACUUCCAUUCCUGCAAAGGAGCCGGGAACCCACUGGAGUGCAGUAGGAGCCAUGCCUAAUGCUGUCUGCAGAGAUAUUUCUGAAGCUGGAGCAGAAACUGAAUUAACAAGGUGUGAAGUGGUUGUGCUAUCCGCAGUUGUCCUUAUCCUUUCGUAGGGAGACAGGCUCCAACAUUAGCCACAAUCGCACAUAAGCCAAGUCAAGCCACUCUCUCGUGUGUCUGUAAAUGCCAGUGCUGCCUGGAUUGCCAGAAAUGGGAGGGUUGCCACAAGUCGCAGGAGGCACCUCCACUGAACAUCUGACCUUCUGACACAAAACACCAAAAGUGCCAGCGAUCACAGCUGUAACAGUCGGUGGCUGCUUGUUCGGUGAGAACCACCGCUCUUCGGACAGAAUAGAUUUCUGGGUAUUGAUGUCUGCAGCAGAUGAAAUUAAUGUG